UAGGACUGUGACAGUUUGUAGUGAUAGAUUAGAUGGAUCCUAGAGAGAAAGCUUUAGAAUUUGACCUUGAAAAUGGAGUAGCUGUUAAUGGUAGAGGCUAUUUCGUUGUGCCGUUGUUGCCCGGUGAUGUUUCGAGUUGUGGUAGUGUGUAUGUGGAGGAUUUGCAGGCAAUGCCGAGCUCGAAUUGUGAUAAGGAUGGAAAGGAGAAUAGAUUAGUGUCGAAGGAAAACGUAAAAGCUUGAGCCAUAAGAAACCUCCUAAGCCUCCUAGACCUCCGUCGUUGGAUGCGGCCGACCAGAAGAUAAUUAAGGAGAUAGCGGAACUUGCGAGAUUGAAGCAUGCAAGGAUCGAGCGGAUCAAAGCCUUGAAGAAGAUGAAGGCUGCUGAGGGAACAAGUUCACGCAGCAACAACGUGCUUGUAAGUUGCAACCGUGUUUACUGUCAUUUUUUGUAUUGUCAUGAUCUUUCAAGGAAUGUCAUCCGGAGGUAGACCGACAAGUUACGAAGAAUCUCCCGUGCCAGCCGGAGCCGGAGCACUGAACAGAGGUCUAAUUUCAGUUCAAUUCUCGGAGAAACCAGCUGCCAUGAUUCCAAAUCAACCAGAUUCAGGAUCUCCCUAUUUAGUGGAGCAGGUUGCAGGUUUAGACGCUCAGGAAAAGCUUAAAAGAUCUUCUGGAUAAAAAUUCGAUUUCGAGCACUCUAUAUGUGGCUAUAGGGACAAGUACUUGUUGCUGUCUUCCAUCAAGGCCAUUU